rnacentral:sRNA from 1 species
AAAACACUAACAAAAC